rnacentral:rRNA from 1 species
GGACGACGCUGGCGGCGUGCCUAACACAUGCAAGUCGAACGAGGUCCAUGCAGUGGCAACACUGCGGAAGACCUAGUGGCGAACGGGUGAGUAACACGUGAGGAACCUGCCCCGAAGACCGGGAUAACCCUCCGAAAGGAGAGCUAAUACCGGAUACCCCCACCUGGUCGCAUGGCCGGGUGAGGAAAUGGAUUCCGCUUCGGGAGGGCCUCGCGGCCUAUCAGCUAGUUGGUGAGGUAACGGCUCACCAAGGCAUCGACGGGUAGCUGGUCUGAGAGGACGAUCAGCCACACUGGGACUGAGACACGGCCCAGACUCCUACGGGAGGCAGCAGUGGGGAAUCUUGCGCAAUGGGCGAAAGCCUGACGCAGCAACGCCGCGUGGGGGAUGAAGGCUCUCGGGUUGUAAACCCCUUUCAGCAGGGACGAAAAUGACGGUACCUGCAGAAGAAGCUCCGGCUAACUACGUG